rnacentral:tRNA from 2 species
GGAAAGGCGUCUGUUGAAGUGUUAAGUUGUAACCUUAGUUAUAGGAAUAAAAAUUUCCUUCUUUCUA